AGCUUGAUGGUGUAAAGGUAACAUAUCUUCUAUUUGUGGCCAGACCUCGUCACAUUUCAGAAGAAGCUCUUCGUUCAAUUCGGGGUCAGGCUA